UACGUAGGUGGCAAGCGUUGUCCGGAUUUAUUGGGCUUAAAGGGUGCGUAGGCGGUUUCUUAAGUCAGUGGUGAAAUACGGCAGCUCAACUGUCGAGGUGCCAUUGAUACUGGGAAACUUGAGUACUGAUGAGGUAGGCGGAAUGGACGGUGUAGCGGUGAAAUGCUUAGAGAUCGUCCAGAACACCGAUAGCGAAGGCAGCUUACUAAGGAGUAACUGACGCUGAGGCACGAAAGUGUGGGGAUCAAACAGG
rnacentral:rRNA from 1 species